UACAGAGGUCUCAAGCGUUGUUCGGAUUCAUUGGGCGUAAAGGGUGCGUAGGCGGCGCAGUAAGUCGGGUGUGAAAUCUCGGAGCUUAACUCCGAAACUGCAUUCGAUACUGCCGUGCUUGAGGACUGGAGAGGAGACUGGAAUUUACGGUGUAGCGGUGAAAUGCGUAGAUAUCGUAAGGAAGACCAGUGGCGAAGGCGGGUCUCUGGACAGUUCCUGACGCUGAGGCACGAAGGUCAGGGGAGCAAACGGG
rnacentral:rRNA from 1 species